CCUGCCUCUUAGAGUGUUAUAAGAAGGCCUCUAUUAGGGCUAUGUUGUGAUCCACAGAAAUUCUAGGAAAGUUCAAAGAUGGUGUCUACAUCUAAGUUUCUUGGACUUUUGCUUUUCUGGAUUUCAGCAUCCAGAGGUGACAUUGUAAUGACUCAGUCUCCAGCCACCCUGUCUGUGGCUCCAGGAGACAGUGUCAGUCUCUCCUGCAAGGCAAGCCAGAGUAUUGACAACUACCUACACUGGUAUCAGCAAAAAACACAAGGGUCUCCUAGACUUCUCAUCAAGUAUGCUUCACAGACCAUCUCUGGGAUCCCCUCCAGGUUCAGUGGCAGUGGAUCAGGGACUGAUUUCACUCUCAGAAUCAACAGUGUGGACCCAGAUGAUUUUGGAAUGUAUUACUGUCAACAAGGUAAAAGCUGGCCUCGCACAGUGAUACAGACCAUUGCAAAAACCAUGAGGAAAGUAGAAGUACGGGGUUGGGCUGCUUUAGCUGUUUCUGUUAGUUACCCAGCCUUCUUCAAAUUGUUUCACAUAUGGAGCCAGCUGUUAGGUGAGAUAAAUAUUGAAGAAAACUGGAAGUAUCCCUUACCUCUGAUUUUCUCUUCACUCUAUUUCAGCACAAGUGUACCUAGCCUACAGUUGUCCUGGUAUAAUCAGACAAUCUUCCUCUAG